CGUAGUUUGAUCAGUGGCUACGAGACACGCUGGCGGCGCGCCUAACACAUGCAAGUCGAACGAGAGAUGAAGAGCUUGCUCUUCAAAUCGAGUGGCGAACGGGUGAGUAACGCGUGAGGAACCUGCCUCAAAGAGGGGGACAACAGUUGGAAACGACUGCUAAUACCGCAUAAGCCCACGGCUCGGCAUCGAGCAGAGGGAAAAGGAGUGAUCCGCUUUGAGAUGGCCUCGCGUCCGAUUAGCUAGUUGGUGAGGUAACGGCCCACCAAGGCGACGAUCGGUAGCCGGACUGAGAGGUUGAACGGCCACAUUGGGACUGAGACACGGCCCAGACUCCUACGGGAGGCAGCAGUGGGGAAUAUUGCACAAUGGGGGAAACCCUGAUGCAGCGACGCCGCGUGGAGGAAGAAGGUCUUCGGAUUGUAAACUCCUGUUGUUGAGGAAGAUAAUGACGGUACUCAACAAGGAAGUGACGGCUAACUACGUG
rnacentral:rRNA from 1 species